CUAAUAUCCAAGUGAUAUUGUUUAUGAAAAGUUUGAUGUGAAAAGUUAUUCGUUUUAUUUUAUUUAAUAUCAAUAUAUAAUGUUUGUGAUAUAAUGAUAAUGCAAUUUAUACAAGUGGUGGGCUUUGAAUUAAACGAAGUUGACGAACCGUGCUGGUAAGGGAUUAAAAAUUAUCCGCAAUGUUAGUCCCAUUCUUGAUUCUUUCAAUACCUCUUCGAAUACAAAACGUCAUAGGACCGCAUCUAACACGAAAUACAAAUAGUCACAAUGUACAUGGAGAAUACUUACUUUGAUAUGAAUCCGAGCCGCUCGUCUCAAUACACACACGUUCUUCAAGCUUCAUUUUUCGUCCUACAUUGUUAGUUGUUUAAAAUAAACAAAAUUUAUUCAGUUAGAAAAAUUUUUAUUCAUAUAAAUGUAGAAUAUUUAACUAGAGAUUAGGGAAUUUUACGGUAUAAUUCAUAAAGAUGUCAGAAUUUCGUUUGACAGUUUGACACUUUCCGCCAUUUUGUAUGCAUAGUUUCCGUUUGUAUAAAUGACGAUUUUUUUUUGUAAAUUAAAUUAAUUUAGAAAA